GCUUCCACCCUGGCUUUAAACCCCACGGUUUGCAGUUCGGCUCCAAAGGCCUCCCAAUGACCCCAAUCUCAUUCCUCUGGACUCAACCAUGAUGGCCGAAGGCAGAAGAUAAGCUGGACUCUUGGAAGCCGACACCCCCAGGGAAAUUCCAUCACCCGCCCAGAGCACUGUAGACUCAGCUGGGAAGGUGCAGCAGGAAUCAGAUGGCUGUAGGCAUUGCCAUAGCAACUGUACCCCUCCGAAGCUCUCAUGGGCUGCAGAAGCAGAGCUUCCCUGGGACUCCAUCUGUGUGCGGCCAGGAGUUGAUCCCACCGGCUCUGCACAGUCCUCCUCAAAGCCAAGGGCAGGG